GACGAACGCUGGCGGCGUGCUUAACACAUGCAAGUCGAGCGAGGCCCUCUCCUUCGGGAGAGGUGCCCUAGCGGCGAACGGGUGAGUAACACGUGGGCAACCUGCCCCUAGCACUGGGAUAACUCCGGGAAACCGGGGCUAAUACCGGAUACGACCUCUGAGGGCAUCCUCCGGAGGUGGAAAGGAUUCUGGCUAGGGAUGGGCCCGCGGCCUAUCAGCUUGUUGGUGGGGUAAUGGCCCACCAAGGCGACGACGGGUAGCCGGCCUGAGAGGGCGA
rnacentral:rRNA from 1 species